UAGUCAUAUGCUUGUCUCAAAGAUUAAGCCAUGCAUGUCUAAGUAUAAGCAAUCUAUACGGGGAAACUGCAAAUGGCUCAUUAAAUCAGUUAUCGUUUAUUUGAUAGUACCUUACUACUUGGAUAACCGGGGUAAUUCUAGAGCUAAUACAUGCUAAAAACCCCGACUUCGGAAGGGGUGUAUUUAUUAAAUAAAAAACCAAGGCCCUUCGGGGCUCCUUGGUGAUUCAUAAUAACUUAACAAAUCGCAUGGCCUUGUGCCGGCAAUGGUUCAUUCAAAUUUCUGCCCUAUCAACUUUCGAUUGUAAGGUAGGGGCUUACAAUGGUUUCAACGGGUAACGGGAAAUUAGGGUUCUAUUCCGGAAAGGGAGCCUGAAAAACGGCUACCACAUCCAAGGAAGGCAGCAGGCGCGCAAAUUACCCAAUCCCGACACGGGGAGGUAGUGACAAUAAAUACUGAUACAGGGCUCUUUUGGGUCUUGUAAUUGGAAUGAGUACAAUUUAAAUCCCUUAACAAGGAACAAUU
rnacentral:rRNA from 1 species